rnacentral:tRNA from 1 species
GCCUGGGUGGCUCAGUGGGUUAAGCUACUGCCUUCCACUCAGGUCAUGAUCUCAGGGUCCUGGGAUCGAGUCCCACCUCAGGCU